UGGGGAAUAUUGCACAAUGGGCGAAAGCCUGAUGCAGCAACGCCGCGUGAGUGAUGAAGGUCUUCGGAUUGUAAAGCUCUGUCUUUUGGGACGAUAAUGACGGUACCAAAGGAGGAAGCCACGGCUAACUACGUGCCAGCAGCCGCGGUAAUACGUAGGUGGCGAGCGUUGUCGGAUUUACUGGGCGUAAAGGGUGCGUAGGCGGAUGUUUAAGUGAGAUGUGAAAUACCCGGGCUUAACUUGGGUGCUGCAUUUCAAACUGGAUAUCUAGAGUGCAGGAGAGGAGAAUGGAAUUCCUAGUGUAGCGGUGAAAUGCGUAGAGAUUAGGAAGAACACCAGUGGCGAAGGCGAUUCUCUGGACUGUAACUGACGCUGAGGCACGAAAGCGUGGGUAGCAAACAGGAUUAGAUACCCUGGUAGUCCACGCCGUAAACGAUGAGUACUAGGUGUAGGAGGUAUCGACCCCUUCUGUGCCGCAGUAAACACAUUAAGUACUCCGCCUGGGAAGUACGAUCGCAAGAUUAAAAC
rnacentral:rRNA from 1 species